GAUGAACGCUGGCGGCGUGCCUAAUACAUGCAAGUCGAGCGAACAGAUGAGGAGCUUGCUCCUCUGACGUUAGCGGCGGACGGGUGAGUAACACGUGGAUAACCUCCCUAUAAUACUGGGAUAACUUCGGAAAACCGGAUCUAAUACCGGAUAAUAUAUUGAACCGCAUGGUUCAAUAGUGAAAGACGGCUUUGCUGUCUCUUCUAGCUGGUUCCGGGCCGCAUUAGCUAGUUGGUAAGGUAACGGCUUACCAAGGCGACGAUGCGUAGCCGAACUGAGAGGGUGAUCGGCCACACUGGAACUGAGACACGGUCCAGACUCCUACGGGAGGCAGCAGUAGGGAAUCUUAGGCAAUGGGCGAAAGCCUGACGGAGCAAGGCCGCGUGAGUGAUGAAGGCCUUCGGAUCGUAAAGCCCUGUUAUUAGGGAAGAACAGAUGUGGAAGUAACUAUGCACGUCUUGACGGUACCUAAUCAGAAAGCAACGGCUAACUACGUG
rnacentral:rRNA from 1 species